UACGUAGGGUGCGAGCGUUGUCCGGAAUUAUUGGGCGUAAAGGGUGCGUAGGUGGCGAGGCAAGUCGGAUGUGAAAUCCCGGGGCUCAACCCCGGAACUGCAUUCGAUACUGCUUUGCUAGAGUACUGGAGAGGAGAUUGGAAUUUACGGUGUAGCAGUGAAAUGCGUAGAUAUCGUAAGGAAGACCAGUGGCGAAGGCGGAUCUCUGGACAGUUACUGACACUGAGGCACGAAGGCCAGGGGAGCAAACGGG
rnacentral:rRNA from 1 species